UUUUCCCAUCCUGGUGUCCAACAAAGUUGGUGGUGAAUGAUGAGCAUAAGGAGUUCCCGCUGCCCCAAGACCCAAAGAAGUAUAAUUUUGAAAAUGGGUCAGGCAUGAGCUACGAGGCCAUUCACGUCCGCGAGUGCCUGCGCAAAGGYCUCAAGGAAAGUCCCAUCAUUCCUCUGGCAGAAAGUGAGCUUCUGGCUGAGAUCCUCCAGGAGGUGAGGAAGAUCAUUGGAGUCACCUUCUCCCAAGACGAACGCUGAUGCCUGGCCUGAAUAAAUAAAUAGUUUCCGUGGAGA